rnacentral:rRNA from 1 species
UACGGAAGGCAGCAGUGGGGAAUAUUGCACAAUGGGCGAAAGCCUGAUGCAGCUAUGCCGCGUGUAUGAAGAAGGCCUUAGGGUUGUAAAGUACUUUCAUCGGGGAGGAAAAAACAAAACUAAUAAUUUUAUUUCUUGACGUUACCCGAAAAAGAAGCACCGGCUAACUCCGUGCCAGCAGCCGCGGUAAUACGGAGGGUGCUAGCGUUAAUCAGAAUUACUGGGCGUAAAGAGCACGUAGGUGGUUUUUUUAAGUUCAGAUGUGAAAUCCCUGGGCUUAACCCUAGGAACUGCAUUUUGAAACUGAAAUACUAGAGUAUCGUAGAGGGAGGUAGAAUUCUAGGUGUAGCGGUGAAAUGCGUAGAUAUCUGGAGGAAUACCUGUGGCGAAAGCGGCCUCCUAAACGAAUACUGACACUGAGGUGCGAAAGCGUGGGGAGCAAACAGGGAUUAGAUACC